AACAGGAAGAAGCUUGCUUCUUUGCUGACGAGUGGCGGACGGGUGAGUAGUGUCUGGGAAACUGCCUGAUGGAGGGGGAUAACUACUGGAAACGGUAGCUAAUACCGCAUAACGUCGCAAGACCAAAAAGGGGGACCUUCGGGCCUCUUGCCAUCGGAUGUGCCCAGAUGGGAUUAGCUAGUAGGUGGGGUAACGGCCCACCUAGGCGACGAUCCCUAGCUGGUCUGAGAGGAUGACCAGCCACACUGAAACUGGGACACGGUCCAGACUCCUACGGGAGGCAGCAGUGGGACUCCUACGGGAGGCAGCAGUGGGACUCCUACGGGAGGCGGCCCUGGUUGCCCUUGCUGUUCGCUGGCCUGGCGUUGUGGCCCGAGAGACUCCUACGGGAGGCAGCAGUGGAUAUUCUAGAAAUCUCCUACAAAUCUCAG
rnacentral:sRNA from 1 species